rnacentral:rRNA from 1 species
UACGGGGGGGGCAAGCGUUGUUCGGAAUUACUGGGCGUAAAGGGCUCGUAGGCGGCCAACUAAGUCAGACGUGAAAUCCCUCGGCUUAACCGGGGAACUGCGUCUGAUACUGGAUGGCUUGAAUCCGGGAGAGGGAUGCAGAAUUCCAGGUGUAGCGGUGAAAUGCGUAGAUAUCUGGAGGAAUACCGGUGGCGAAGGCGGCAUCCUGGACCGGCAUUGACGCUGAGGAGCGAAAGCUAGGAGAGCAAACGGG